AAGGAAGGAAGCAAAAGGCCUGAAGGAUAAGAUGAGACAAGGCUGAAGCAGGAUCAUUAAAUCAUAAACCUGGAGCACCUGGAUAGUGAGUAGAGUGAAAACAAGCUCAGGGCUCCCACUGAUUGUACAUUAUGGUGAGACGUGGUCUUGUAACACAGUGGUUAAGAAUGUGACUUUGGAGCCAGCCUGCUAGGGGCUGAAUUCUGACUCAGCCAUUUACUAACUGUGUGACCUUAGGGAGGAGGACCUGGUUGAUAGAAGAAUUUAUCUCGUAGUCUUAACAUCCACUGUAAUUCCAAACUUUGAGGACGAUAGAGAUCAGUGGGCUUUGACUGCCCAGCAUGCAGUCUCCAUUCUUAGGUGGAGUCUCACUCUGUAGCCCAAGCUGGAGUGGCGUGAUCUCGACUCACUGCAACCUCCGCCUCCUGGGAUCAAGUGAUUCUCGUGCCUCAGCCUCCUGAGUAGCCGGGACUACAGUUGUCCCUUGGUGUGGGAUUGCUUCCAGUACCUCUGUGUGUAACAAAAGCUGCACCAUUCAAGUCCCACAGUUGCCCUGCGAAACCUCUGUAUAUGAAAAGUUGGCCCUCCAUGUACAUGGGUUUCCCAUCCUGUGAGUACUGUAUUUUUGAUCCUCAUUUGGUUGGAAAAAAUCUGCAUAUAAGUGGACCUGUGCAGUUCAAACCCGUGUUGUUCAAGGGUCAGCUGUAUAUUUACAGUUGUUAUAUUGUCUUGAUAAAUUGAUCCUCUGUCAUUAUGUAAUGAUGUUCUUUGUCUUGUUUUACAGUUUUUACUUAGUCUGUUUUAAGUAUAGCUACCCCUGCUCUCUUUGGUUUCCAUUUGCCUGAAAUGUCUUUUUCUAGCCUUUCACUUUCAUUCUAUGUGUGUUCUUAAAUGUGAAGUUAAUCUUCAUAGGCCACAUAUAGUUGGGUCUGUUUUUAAAUUUUUGAUAGUAUCCAACCUAAUGGGUGUGAGGUGAUAAUUCUUUGUGGUUUUGAUUUGCAUUUCUCUAAUGAUUAGUGAUGUUGAGCAUCUUUACAUAUGAUUGUUGGCCAUUUGUGUCCCUUCUUUGGAGACUAUUCAAAGUCCUUUACCCAUUUUAAAAAUGAAGGCAUUUGCCCUUUGUUGUUGAGUUGUAGGAAUUUUAAAAAUAUAUUCUGGAUAGUAAAUCCUUUUCAGAUAUAAGAUUUGCAAAUGUUUUUUCCCAUUCUGUGGGUUGUCUUUUCACUCUUUUUCUUUUUCUUUUUUUUUUUU
rnacentral:lncRNA from 1 species